rnacentral:tRNA from 1 species
AUCUAGGUGACUCAAUGGAUAGGGUGCCAGGCUUGGAGUCAGGAAGUCUCUUUCUGAGUUCAAAUCUCACCUCAGAUA